UGAUCCGUGGUUAGUUUAGCGGGGCAGC
rnacentral:sRNA from 1 species